rnacentral:rRNA from 1 species
UACGUAGGGUGCAAGCGUUGUCCGGAAUUAUUGGGCGUAAAGAGCUCGUAGGCGGUCUGUCGCGUCUGCUGUGAAAACUCAGGGCUUAACCCUGAGCUUGCAGUGGGUACGGGCAGACUAGAGUUCGGUAGGGGAGACUGGAAUUCCUGGUGUAGCGGUGAAAUGCGCAGAUAUCAGGAGGAACACCGGUGGCGAAGGCGGGUCUCUGGGCCGAAACUGACGCUGAGGAGCGAAAGCGUGGGGAGCAAACAGG